UACGUAGGUGGCGAGCGUUUGUCCGGAUUUAUUGGGCGUAAAGAGCGUGUAGGCGGCUAGGUAGGUCCGUUGUGAAAACUCGAGCUCAACCUCGAGACGCCGGUGGAAACCAUCUAGCUAGAGUCCGGAAGAGGAGAGUGGAAUUCCUGGUGUAGCGGUGAAAUGCGCAGAUAUCAGGAAGAACACCCGUGGCGAAGGCGGCUCUCUGGGACGUGACUGACGCUGAGACGCGAAAGCGUGGGGAGCGAACAGG
rnacentral:rRNA from 1 species